rnacentral:rRNA from 1 species
CCUACGGGAGGCAGCAGUGAGGAAUAUUGGUCAAUGGGCGCGAGCCUGAACCAGCCAAGUCGCGUGAGGGAAGACGGUCCUAUGGAUUGUAAACCUCUUUUGUCGGGGAGCAAAAGACGCCACGCGUGGCGUUCCGAGAGUACCCGAAGAAAAAGCAUCGGCUAACUCCGUGCCAGCAGCCGCGGUAAUACGGAGGAUGCGAGCGUUAUCCGGAUUUAUGGGGUUUAAAGGGUGCGCAGGCGGAAGAUCAAGUCAGCGGCAAAAUUGAGAGGCUCAACCUCUUCGAGCCGUUGAAACUGGUUUUCUUGAGUGAGCGAGAAGUAUGCGGAAUGCGUGGUGUAGCGGUGAAAUGCAUAGAUAUCACGCAGAACUCCGAUUGCGAAGGCAGCAUACCGGCGCUCAACUGACGCUCAUGCACGAAAGUGUGGGUAUCGAACAGGAUUAGAUACCCGAGUAGUC